GAUGAACGCUGGCUACAGGCUUAACACAUGCAAGUCGAGGGGAAACGACGGGGAAGCUUGCUUCCCCGGGCGUCGACCGGCGCACGGGUGAGUAACGCGUAUCCAACCUGCCUCUGACUGAGGGAUAACCCGUCGAAAGUCGGCCUAAUACCUCAUGGCAUCGUCUGCGGGCAUCCAACGACGAUUAAAGAUUUCAUCGGUCAGGGAUGGGGAUGCGUCUGAUUAGCUUGUUGGCGGGGUAACGGCCCACCAAGGCUACGAUCAGUAGGGGUUCUGAGAGGAAGGUCCCCCACAUUGGAACUGAGACACGGUCCAAACUCCUACGGGAGGAAGCAGUGAGGAAUAUUGGUCAAUGGGCGGGAGCCUGAACCAGCCAAGUAGCGUGCAGGAGGACGGCCCUAUGGGUUGUAAACUGCUUUUAUGCGGGGAUAAAGUGAGGGACGUGUCCUUCAUUGCAGGUACCGCAUGAAUAAGGACCGGCUAAUUCCGUG
rnacentral:rRNA from 1 species